rnacentral:rRNA from 1 species
UACGAAGGGGGCUAGCGUUGUUCGGAAUUACUGGGCGUAAAGCGCGCGCAGGCGGCUCUUCAAGUCAGGGGUGAAAGCCCAGAGCUCAACUCUGGAACUGCCUUUGAGACUGAAGAGCUUGAGUACGGGAGAGGUGAGUGGAAUUCCCAGUGUAGAGGUGAAAUUCGUAGAUAUUCGGAGGAACACCAGUGGCGAAGGCGGCUCACUGGUCCAUUACUGACGCUGAGGUGCGAAAGCGUGGGGAGCAAACAGG